GACCGCUCCGGUGGCCUAGUGAUAGUGCGUCCGUCUCGAAUGCGGGAGGUCGUGGGUUUGAUUUCCGGCCGCGUCA